rnacentral:misc_RNA from 1 species
GUGGGAGGGGGCUUGCUGCCGAUGGCGGAGGUUCAGUCGAUUGAUAAAUAACCGACACACCGCCAUCGGCAGUAAGCCCCCUCCCAC